CACGUAGGGUGCGAGCGUUUGUCCGGAAUUAUUGGGCGUAAAGAGCUCGUAGGCGGUGUGUCGCGUCGGCCGUGAAAACCUGCAGCUUAACUGUGGGCUUGCGGUCGAUACGGGCAUCACUGGAGUUCGGCAGGGGAGACUGGAAUUCCUGGUGUAGCGGUGAAAUGCGCAGAUAUCAGGAGGAACACCGGUGGCGAAGGCGGGUCUCUGGGCCGAUGACUGACGCU
rnacentral:rRNA from 1 species